GUGACGGCCGAGACGGCGGUGAUGAGGAUCUUCACCGACAUGCGGGCCUUCCGCACAGCGUAGGAGGUAAUACCUCUCCACCGUGAGGUGAGGAUCAGAGCAACAGAGACGAGCCGAUUCAGUUCGGGUGAAACGGGCAAUCUCUACGCGCAGCAAUACCAAGUAGGCCAGCGUUGAUGUGGUUCCGCAGAGCUGGCGGGUAGGUAGCAUCGAGCCGGGUGGGCGACCCCCGGCCCAGAGUAAUGGCGGUCACGCCGUGUCAGUUUGUUUCGGCAGGCAGGCGCGGUGCACAGAAUCCGGCUUAUCGGCGGGCUUCACA
rnacentral:RNase_P_RNA from 1 species